rnacentral:rRNA from 1 species
AUGGACCAUUCCAUCCCUUUUUCCCAUGCAUAUGCAUUGGACUCGGAUGACGAUGGUCCCGACGAACAAGUUGAUGCGGAGGGGUUCACGGUGAAGGAGGCCGAAGCUUUCAAGAAGGUAUUCGGUCGUGAUCAUCGGACUACACUGUUCAAUGAUGUUAGUCUCGCGGAUGAAGCCGUGGUAGCUGGUGGCCAAUGUAUAUCUAUUGGGGUUAGGCCAAGCUCUCAC